rnacentral:rRNA from 1 species
GACGAACGCUGGCGGCGUGCUUAACACAUGCAAGUCGAACGGAAAGGCCCUGCUUUUGUGGGGUGCUCGAGUGGCGAACGGGUGAGUAACACGUGAGUAACCUGCCCUUGACUUUGGGAUGACUUCAGGAAACUGGGGCUAAUACCGGAUAGGAGCUCCUGCUGCAUGGUGGGGGUUGGAAAGUUUCGGCGGUUGGGGAUGGACUCGCGGCUUAUCAGCUUGUUGGUGGGGUAGUGGCUUACCAAGGCUUUGACGGGUAGCCGGCCUGAGAGGGUGACCGGCCACAUUGGGACUGAGAUACGGCCCAGACUCCUACGGGAGGCAGCAGUGGGGAAUAUUGCACAAUGGGCGGAAGCCUGAUGCAGCAACGCCGCGUGCGGGAUGACGGCCUUCGGGUUGUAAACCGCUUUCGCCUGUGACGAAGCGUGAGUGACGGUAAUGGGUAAAGAAGCACCGGCUAACUACGUG